AGCAAACUAGCUCAGUGGAAGAGCGAUGGGCCCAUACUUCAAGGUGUGACCCAUAGGUCCGACGAUCAAAACGUCGGUUUGCUA